AUGAUGAACGCUAGCUACAGGCUUAACACAUGCAAGUCGAGGGGCAUCAGGAAGAAAGCUUGCUUUCUUUGCUGGCGACCGGCGCACGGGUGGGUAACACGUAUCCAACCUGCCCUUUACUCGGGGAUAGCCUUUCGAAAGAAAGAUUAAUACCCGAUGGCAUAAUGAUUCCGCAUGGUUUCAUUAUUAAAGGAUUCCGGUAAAGGAUGGGGAUGCGUUCCAUUAGGUUGUUGGUGAGGUAACGGCUCACCAAGCCUUCGAUGGAUAGGGGUUCUGAGAGGAAGGUCCCCCACAUUGGAACUGAGACACGGUCCAAACUCCUACGGGAGGCAGCAGUGAGGAAUAUUGGUCAAUGGGCGCUAGCCUGAACCAGCCAAGUAGCGUGAAGGAUGAAGGCUCUAUGGGUCGUAAACUUCUUUUAUAUAAGAAUAAAGUGCAGUAUGUAUACUGUUUUGUAUGUAUUAUAUGAAUAAGGAUCGGCUAACUCCGUGCCAGCAGCCGCGGUAAUACGGAGGAUCCGAGCGUUAUCCGGAUUUAUUGGGUUUAAAGGGAGCGUAGGUGGACUGGUAAGUCAGUUGUGAAAGUUUGCGGCUCAACCGUAAAAUUGCAGUUGAUACUGUCAGUCUUGAGUACAGUAGAGGUGGGCGGAAUUCGUGGUGUAGCGGUGAAAUGCUUAGAUAUCACGAAGAACUCCGAUUGCGAAGGCAGCUCACUGGACUGCAACUGACACUGAUGCUCGAAAGUGUGGGUAUCAAACAGGAUUAGAUACCCUGGUAGUCCACACAGUAAACGAUGAAUACUCGCUGUUUGCGAUAUACAGUAAGCGGCCAAGCGAAAGCAUUAAGUAUUCCACCUGGGGAGUACGCCGGCAACGGUGAAACUCAAAGGAAUUGACGGGGGCCCGCACAAGCGGAGGAACAUGUGGUUUAAUUCGAUGAUACGCGAGGAACCUUACCCGGGCUUAAAUUGCAGUGGAAUGAUGUGGAAACAUGUCAGUGAGCAAUCACCGCUGUGAAGGUGCUGCAUGGUUGUCGUCAGCUCGUGCCGUGAGGUGUCGGCUUAAGUGCCAUAACGAGCGCAACCCUUAUCUUUAGUUACUAACAGGUUAUGCUGAGGACUCUAGAGAGACUGCCGUCGUAAGAUGUGAGGAAGGUGGGGAUGACGUCAAAUCAGCACGGCCCUUACGUCCGGGGCUACACACGUGUUACAAUGGGGGGUACAGAAGGCAGCUAGCGGGUGACCGUAUGCUAAUCCCAAAAGCCUCUCUCAGUUCGGAUCGAAGUCUGCAACCCGACUUCGUGAAGCUGGAUUCGCUAGUAAUCGCGCAUCAGCCACGGCGCGGUGAAUACGUUCCCGGGCCUUGUACACACCGCCCGUCAAGCCAUGGGAGCCGGGGGUACCUGAAGUACGUAACCGCAAGGAUCGUCCUAGGGUA
rnacentral:rRNA from 1 species